UGGAUUGGUAAUGAGUUUAAUUUAGGAGCCUUACCAUGUGCCUUUGGAGGGCAAGUCUGGUGCCAGCA
rnacentral:rRNA from 1 species